CGAGCACGCGCGUGUGGCAUAUCAAUAAGCGGAGGAAAAGAAACUAACAAGGAUUCCCUUAGUAACGGCGAGUGAAGCGGGAAGAGCUCAAAUUUGAAAUCUUCAAGGUUCUACCUUGACGAAUUGUAGUGUAUAGAAGUGUUUUCUGUUAGUAGAGUGGCAAAAGUUCUUUGGAAUAGGACAUCAUAGAGGGUGAGAAUCCGUAUUUGGUCAUUCUUUCUAGCUUUGUGAUACACUUUCAACGAGUCGGAUUGUUUGGGAAUGCAGUCCAAAAUGGGUGGUAAAUUUCAUCCUAAAGCUAAAUAUUGGCGAGAGACCGAUAGCGAACAAGUACCGUGAGGGAAAGAUGAAAAGAACUUUGAAAAGAGAGUUAAACAGUACGUGAAAUUGUCAAAAGGGAAGCGUUUGACACCAGUGUUGUUUUUCCGAAAAUCAAUUACGAAUGUUUUGUUUUUGAGGAGUUAUGACUUCAUCGGCUUGCUUCUUUCUUUAUGAAACUUUCUUAAUGCACUUUUCGGUUAACAAGUCAACAUCAAUUUCUUUUGUUGUAAAAGAGUAUGAGGAAGGUGGCUUUCUUUUCAGGAGAAAGUGUUUAUAGCCUUGUACCUCUGCAAUCGGAGAGAUUGAGGUCUGCAGCGUAGAUCCUUCGGGGUUAGAUACAUUUGUGCUAAGUUAUAGCUUGUCAUAGACAACUUGUUGACUAUGUUAGUCAUUGUAGCUUACUCGCAGUAUGCUAUUUUACCUACGCUUAGGAUGUUGAUGUGAUACUGCGAGCA
rnacentral:rRNA from 1 species